rnacentral:rRNA from 1 species
CUGCGAGUGAGAGGGAAAAGCUCAAAUUUAAAAUCUGGCAGCAUUUUGCUGUCCGAGUUGUAACCUAGAGAAGUGUAACCUGUGCUGGACCGUGUAUAAGUUUCCUGGAAUGGAGCAUCACAGAGGGUGAGAAUCCCGUCUUUGACAUGGACUACCAGUGCAUUGUGGUUGUGCUCUCAACGAGUCGAGUUGUUUGGGAAUGCAGCUCUAAAUGGGUGGUAAAUUCCAUCUAAAGCUAAAUAUUGGCGAGAGACCGAUAGCGAACAAGUACCGUGAGGGAAAGAUGAAAAGAACUUUGGAAAGAGAGUUAAACAGUAUGUGAAAUUGUUGAAAGGGAAACGUUUGAAGUCAGUCGCGUUAGCUGGGGAUCAGCCUGACAUUGUUGGGUGCACUUCCUGGUUGACGGGCCAACAUCAGUUUUGACUGCCAGAAAAAGGCCAAGGGAAUGUGGCACCUUUGGGUGUGUUAUAGCCUUUGGUCAUAUAUGGUGGUUGGGACUGAGGAACGCAGUGUGCCGAAAGGCCGGGUUUCGACCACGUUCACACUGAGGAUGUUGGCAUAAUGGCUUUAAACGACCCGUCUUGAA